AGGGUAUGGCUGUUCGCCAUUUAAAGUGGUACGCGAGCUGGGUUUAGAACGUCGUGAGACAGUUCGGUCCCUAUCUGCCGUGGGCGCUGGAGAACUGAGGGGGGCUGCUCCUAGUACGAGAGGACCGGAGUGGACGCAUCACUGGUGUUCGGGUUGUCAUGCCAAUGGCACUGCCCGGUAGCUAAAUGCGGAAGAGAUAAGUGCUGAAAGCAUCUAAGCACGAAACUUGCCCCGAGAUGAGUUCUCCCUGACUCCUUGAGAGUCCUGAAGGAACGUUGAAGACGACGACGUUGAUAGGCCGGGUGUGUAAGCGCAGCGAUGCGUUGAGCUAACCGGUACUAAUGAACCGUGAGGCUUAACCUUACAACGCCGAAG
rnacentral:rRNA from 1 species